rnacentral:tRNA from 1 species
GGAGAACUGGCCGAGUGGUUGAAGGCGCACGCCUGGAAAGUGUGUAUAGGCUAAUACCCUAUCGAGGGUUCGAAUCCCUCGUUCUCCGCCA